rnacentral:rRNA from 1 species
UACGAAGGGGGCUAGCGUUGCUCGGAAUCACUGGGCGUAAAGCGCACGUAGGCGGAUUGUUAAGUCAGGGGUGAAAUCCUGGAGCUCAACUCCAGAACUGCCUUUGAUACUGAGGAUCUUGAGUCCGGGAGAGGUGAGUGGAACUGCGAGUGUAGAGGUGAAAUUCGUAGAUAUCAGGAGGAACACCGGUGGCGAAGGCGGCUUUCUGGACGACAACUGACGCUGAGACGCGAAAGCGUGGGGAGCAAACAGG